GAUGAACGCUGGCGGCGUGCCUAAUACAUGCAAGUCGAGCGAACAGACGAGGAGCUUGCUCCUCUGACGUUAGCGGCGGACGGGUGAGUAACACGUGGAUAACCUACCUAUAAGACUGGGAUAACUUCGGGAAACCGGAGCUAAUACCGGAUAAUAUAUUGAACCGCAUGGUUCAAUAGUGAAAGACGGUUUUGCUGUCACUUAUAGAUGGAUCCGCGCCGCAUUAGCUAGUUGGUAAGGUAACGGCUUACCAAGGCAACGAUGCGUAGCCGACCUGAGAGGGUGAUCGGCCACACUGGAACUGAGACACGGUCCAGACUCCUACGGGAGGCAGCAGUAGGGACUCUUCCGCAAUGGGCGAAAGCCUGACGGAGCAACGCCGCGUGAGUGAUGAAGGUCUUCGGAUCGUAAAACUCUGUUAUUAGGGAAGAACAAAUGUGUAAGUAACUAUGAACGUCUUGACGUUACCUAAUCAGAAAGCCACGGCUAACUACGUG
rnacentral:rRNA from 1 species